GCUUUAUUGCUGAAUGCGAACAGGUCUGUUCUUAUCGCUUAAAGUGCUAUAAUUUGUCAUUUUUAUCGUUUGUUAUAUCAUCGAGGAUACGUUAAGCACAAUGAAAAGGCGAGAUAUUUUUAAUAUAUGGUUCCCAAGGUUCCAAUAAAAGGUCCAAAUAACCUUAUAAUUGAAAAAAAUACUACAAUAUUAUGACAUAGAGGACUGUAGAAGCCCUCCACGAUCACUUCAAAUGAUAUUAAGUAGUCUCACAGCAAAAAUACAAUCUAAAUGGGAGAAAUGUAAGCGAACAUAACAGGGAUCAAUCUGGAUUUAAUCAAACAUUUCUGUUAUCUUGGAGGUAGUUUCAUCCGACUUAGAAAUAGAUCCUGACAAGUUCAAGACAUAUGCCAAACUUUAUUUAGUACAUUAUUCCUGGUACUACUGCAUGCCUUCCAGUAUACACAAAAUCCUCUCACACUCAAAAGAGGUAAUUGAAACAUGCGUUUUACCUUUGGACCAAUUAGCAGAAGAAGCUCAAGAAGCGAACAAUAAGGAAUAUAGGAGGAAUCGCGAGUAUUUCAGCAGGAAAACAAACAGAAUUAACACCAAUCGAUACGUACUUAACUGAUUUUUGAUAGGUUCAGAUCCACUUCUAUCUUCCAAAUCAACAGCGCAAAAUAGAACAUGGGAGAAGAAACUUACUCGACGGAGGAAGAUGGGUAGAAGGUUAUGCGAAUUUUUUUUUGUCUUUAGAAUAUUUAGGGGUAUAAAAUAUAUUUCCUGUGUAUUUAGAACAAAGUUGCAGUAUUAAAAAUAAUAUUUUUAAAGAAAAUAAAGAAAUAAAUGAUUUUUAUUAAUAAUUAAUGUUAUUUAUUUAUUUAGAAAUACGAAAUAACAUCUAAUAUUAACAUUUUAUGACACGUAAAAUUAAAAAAAGAUAAAUUCACGCAAGAUUGAAUUAAGUUCUGCUAGAUCUCGAUAAUAAUACAGUGUGCGCCGGUAAGACUAUCGCCGAAUAGUCGAACGAAUACCGAAAGAUCUAGUAGCACCUAGAACGCUCGAGAAGUACAACGCCAUCUAUUGUCAGAUAGCGGAAACACAAUAUUAGAAAUGUGUUGAAUAUUCUCGAUAAUUCUAGGGAUGUGGUAUCGACUAUAAAAGCGUUGCAGCGUUUAUGCGUCAUGAUAAUCGCCUUAUCGUUGCCGCCGCUGACACUCCCCGAAUCCUAAUCACGCAGGAGCAAGUACCGUCGUCGCCUUAGACACGUCCUUACGGAUCCAUCCGAUCCAAUAACUCUUGCAUUAGAUACCUUCAGCUCUAACACUAGGAGCAGGCUGAGGAACCCCGGUAACCGUAUUCGUCGAACUCGACAAAGAGGUCGACGUGCAACCUAACCCACGCAUCAGCCCGCUGAGUUUCUCGCCGGAUCUUCUCAGCGGGUCGCGAUUCCGAUCCGGUAGCAGAUUCAUUUGCGAAGCAAUUGCUCUUGAGUUGUUAGGUCUCCUUCGGAGGCGCUCGGGCAGUUGUUAGCAAAUCCCACCCCUCCUGGCUGAGCCUUUGCUCGCCCACCUGUCCGAGCCUUUGCUCGCCCACCUGUCCUGGUGAAAAUGGAAAGGCCUCCGGGCCACCAGUAAUCUUUCAAUCAUAAAAAAAACGCAGUCAGUCAGUAAUCGGAACUACUUGAAGCGAAACAGCGAACGGAUCACCUGAAGCGAAGCGAAAGAAGCGAAUUGAGAGCUUUAAAGUGUUUGUUGUGUGUUUUAAGUGUUCUAAGUGUUGAAUACAGUUUUUAAGUUUUA